ensembl:snRNA U6 U6 spliceosomal RNA
AUACUCGCUUCGGCAGCACAUAUACUAAAUUUGGAAUGAUACAGAGAAGAUUAGCAUGGCCCCUGUGCAAGGAUGACAUGCAAAUUCGUGAAGUGUUCCAUAUUUUU